UGGGGAAUAUUGGACAAUGGGGGAAACCCUGAUCCAGCGACGCCGCGUGUGUGAAGAAGGCCUGCGGGUUGUAAAGCACUUUCGGUGGGAACGAAAUAUGCCGGGCUAAUACCCCGGUAGGCUGACGUUACUCAAUGAAGAAGCACCGGCUAACUCUGUGCCAGCAGCCGCGGUAAUACAGAGGGUGCAAGCGUUGUUCGGAAUUACUGGGCGUAAAGCGUGCGCAGGCGGUUGUGUAAGUCAGAUGUGAAAUCCCCGGGCUCAACCUGGGAAUUGCAUUUGAGACUGCACGGCUAGAGUGUGUCAGAGGGGGGUAGAAUUCCACGUGUAGCAGUGAAAUGCGUAGAUAUGUGGAGGAAUACCGAUGGCGAAGGCAGCCCCCUGGGAUAACACUGACGCUCAUGCACGAAAGCGUGGGGAGCAAACAGGAUUAGAUACCCACGUAGUCCCUGAGCGGGCUGGCAAGGCGCAU
rnacentral:rRNA from 1 species